rnacentral:tRNA from 1 species
GCCGGAAUAGCUCAGUUGGGAGAGCGUCAGACUGAAGAUCUGAAGGUCCCUGGUUCAAUCCCAGGUUCCGGCA